UGGUAAACCCUUGCACCAUGGGAAAACAGCGGCCUUGUGAGGGGCCUGUUCAACCCAAAGUUUCCCGCAAACACCAAAGAAGAUCCAGAUGGAGGGAGACGUCAGUGGCGGAGCCGAAGUCUGGAUGGUGAUCAGCCAAUCAGACAGCAGAGGAGGAGGAGGUCUCGUUCCCGUGGCAACACAAGCAGCGGCAGUGAAUCAGAGACGAUGAUGAGUAACAACGAGCGGCGCGGGAGAAAGAAUCGGUAAUAAAAUCACUUCCUGUUUCCAGUGAGUGGUCACCAUGGUAACCAGACACCUGCCUCCACUGAGCCGGGCCAGACGUAUUAGGAUUGGCCAAUGGGAGCCACCAAUGCUAAUUUCUAAGUCUAUUAGUUUUACUAAAUGAUACAACGAGGCUAAUGCUAAUGCUAAUGCUCUCUCUCUCUUUGUAGACAGAGUCCUGAUGUCCUCAUAUGGCAACAAAUCCAGAAACAGCUGGUGGAUCCCAACACUCACCUCAACAGGCAGACAGAGGAAAUACCUUAUAUGGAAGUGAGAGUGUCCGGAGAGCCAAUCAGAGCACGUCAAUCUCCGAGGAGGCGGCGACAUCGUCGCUGUGCUUCAGCGUCAGACUUCCUUUCAGAGCCGGAGCUCGUUCCUCCUCUUCCUGUCACCAAGACAACAGGCACCGUCUGCCAAUCACCCACCGGUCCCUGAGCUGCUGCCAGUUGGUUUCCAGUGACGA